rnacentral:lncRNA from 1 species
CGCUCGCUCUGGCGGCUCCCAGUCCCUGGAUUUGGCUAUAGGCCGGUGGAUCUGGGUGCUACCGAUGGUGGUGUUGAAGGGGGGCGUAUGGACAUCAACGUGACCAGCAAGCUGGAGGCCACAACAACAAGCGUCCUUGAACUUUACCUCAAAUCAUUCAUCUAGACAUGUACAGGUACACAUACAUUGGUAUGUGUCCAUCCUUGGCUGCUCUAAUCUUUUUCAUUUGCUCCAAUCCCCAAUUUGGUUCGCGGGAAACGUACAUGUAGUAGAAUCUCGCUUCUCAAUUGUAGAAUUUUUGGUCAAUUCGUGAAUUUCAUCGUCAAACCAUGGAAUAAUUUCUGAUCCUUCAUAGUGGAUAAAUUGCUGAAUUUUUUCCUUCGUAUCCUACAUACAUCACCAUUUGUUACAGAGGCAUAAAGUCCUAUUUAUCAGAUUUAUAUUUUUUCAGAUCUUGCUGAUAGUUAUUUCAAGUUUAGCAAUGAGCAGACUCUUAACUUAUGUACCUGCAAAGCUGCAGUACUGUAGAUGGAAAGUAACAUUAGUGAGAUCGAACAUCCUCUGCCCAAGAGGUUAUUUAGAUUUUACCAUGUAUUGUUGCUUGUGUGAGCAUUUGAUUCUGUACAAAAAUUAAUUAUGAACACUCUUAGAUGUUCGCAGUGUGGACGGCAGCCGUUGAUUCAUAGCAGCUGGAGCAGGCCUGUAGCGUCGCUAGUGUUCCUUGUCAUCAGGUUACAUUGGCCGUUGCAUUCUUGUUGAUGUAGUUUGCAUCUCCAUCUCCUCCUACCAUGAUAGUUGGUGACUAGCCAUUCGCGGCUAGAGCUCUUCGAUAUUGCAUCCUUCUCCGUCAAUUUACAUCAGUAUGUGUCAAAUUAAACUUAUUGGCAGGUGCAUUCGAGUGAGAGCUAUCGACACUUGAGUGCUGACCAUAUCUAAACUUAUUCCAGAUUUCGGACUAGGAGAAGCUUUCCGCCCUGUAAGUGUAUAGAUGUAUUCCAGAGCAAGGAAAAAAACACCAAGUGAGAUGUAUUACUUGCCAUUUUACUAAGCAGGUGCAUUCAUAUUAUUUUUAUGUCCUGUUUGACACUGUAUAUAAUUGAUUGCUUUGAAAUGCCUACAUUACGAGAGUACAAUAAAGUACGUUGAGAAUAUUGUUCUUGAUUGAGUAAAAAAACUGAUUUAACUCAUGCUUUUGUGUAUAUUUUUUGCGGAUAAACUCAUGCUUUUGUGUUGACAUACACUCACAUUAUGGAUUGAAGUUCUCAUGAUGGUAAUGAUGAGUGUGCAAGGGCCGUAUAGGUCAGACAUAGGUCUAAUUAACAAAUCACAGAAAGGAGAGGAGGAAGCUGAGCAACACUCCUUUUUCUAUUUGGAACCAGCAUCAUUUAUUGGGUAUGUAGGAAAUUAUUCUUUGCCUCUAUUGGUUGUACCUUAUUCUAUAUUGUACUGCCAGUACCAUGGCAUACCAAUUGUUUGGAUAGAUCAAAAGGCAAGCUAAAGAUCAAUUAGAUAAAUGCUACUGUACUCGCACAUCUCACAUCUCAUUUAGCUUUAUACAUACCUUGUAUCAGCAUUUCUUGAAAACACAUUUAUGCAGUCACACAUCUGACCUUGUUUUUUUUUGAAUUUUGCUUGGUUGGAACUGUAUACAUUUGCGUUGUCUAACUAGUAAUGCUUGUUGAUUGAAUUUGCAGCAUUUGAAUCCUCCUCAGAAGAGAACACGACAUUAGCUAGUGCCAAAAAUGCCAACACAACUUGGCCAUGCUUCUAUCAAGUUGCCUUGGUCCAACCCUUGCAAGCUUCUUCAUCUAUAACAAACAUCAAUCCUGGGAGCACUAGUCAAAGAGUCAGUGUUCUACGGUCUAGCAAAAAGAUAUAGAGGAAGUCACUGCCACUACUCCUACCAGAAGAUUAAUUUUAAGAAUAAAAUUUCUUGUUCUGGCUGCUGAUUAAUUGCCACUGAAUUUAUCCACAUGUUAAUGUCAUAAUUGUUAUUGCUCUGCUACUUAGUUGCUAGUAGAUUUUUUGUUUUCGAAAGAGGCCAGAAUUUAUUUACACAUCUAUGGUAUACAUGUCUCUGACGGUGUCUCUUGUGGGUGCAUUUCUUGAACUACAUAUGUCUUAUGAAUGCUAACUCAGCUGGAGCAUCCAUGUUAAAU